UCUGGUAAUAAUGGCGAGAAGGUCACACCCGUUCCCAUACCGAACACGGAAGUUAAGCUUCUCAGCGCCGAUGGUAGUUGGGACAAGCGUCCCUGUGAGAGUAGGACGUUGCCAGGC
rnacentral:rRNA from 1 species